CGCCCGCCGCGCGCGGCGGGCGGGGCGGGGGCACGGGGGCGUACGGGAGGCAGCAGUGAGGAAUAUUGGUCAAUGGGCGCAAGCCUGAACCAGCCAUCCCGCGUGCAGGAUGACGGCCCUAUGGGUUGUAAACUGCUUUUAUACACCAAGAAAAACCCGACGUGUCGGGCCCGACGGUAGUGUAUGAAUAAGCAUCGGCUAACUCCGUGCCAGCAGCCGCGGUAAUACGGAGGAUGCAAGCGUUAUCCGGAUUCAUUGGGUUUAAAGGGUGCGUAGGCGGCUUUUUAAGUCAGUGGUGAAAUCCUGUCGCUUAACGAUAGAAUUGCCAUUGAUACUGAAAGCUUGAGUACAGUUGAGGUAAGCGGAAUGUGUAGUGUAGCGGUGAAAUGCUUAGAUAUUACACAGAACACCGAUUGCGAAGGCAGCUUACUAAACUGUUACUGACGCUGAUGCACGAAAGCGUGGGGAGCGAACAGGAUUAGAUACCCUGGUAGUCCACGCCGUAAACGAUGAUCACUCGCUGUAUGCGAUACACAGUAUGCGGCCAAGCGAAAGCAUUAAGUGAUCCACCUGGGGAGUACGAUCGCAAGGUUGAAACUCGAAGGAAUUGACGGGG
rnacentral:rRNA from 1 species